rnacentral:rRNA from 1 species
AACGAACGCUGGCGGCAUGCCUAACACAUGCAAGUCGAACGAGACCUUCGGGUCUAGUGGCGCACGGGUGCGUAACGCGUGGGAACCUGCCCUUAGGUUCGGAAUAACUCCCCGAAAGGGGUGCUAAUACCGGAUAAUGUCUUCGGACCAAAGAUUUAUCGCCUUUGGAUGGGCCCGCGUUGGAUUAGCUAGUUGGUAGGGUAAAAGCCUACCAAGGCGACGAUCCAUAGCUGGUCUGAGAGGAUGAUCAGCCACACUGGGACUGAGACACGGCCCAGACUCCUACGGGAGGCAGCAGUGGGGAAUAGUGGACAAUGGGCGAAAGCCUGAUCCAGCAAUGCCGCGUGAGUGAUGAAGGCCUUAGGGUUGUAAAGCUCUUUUACCCGGGAUGGUAAUGACAGUACCGGGAGAAUAAGCUCCGGCUAACUCCGUG